rnacentral:rRNA from 1 species
CCCUUAGAUGUUCUGGGCCGCACGCGUGCUUCACUGAGUAAAUCAAUGGGUAAGGGAACACGAAAGUGCAACCUAAUCUUCAAAUUUGCUCGUGAUGGGGAUCGACGGUUGCAAUUUUCCGUCGUGAACGAGGAAUACCUUGUAGGCGCGUGUCAUCAUCACGCGCCGAAUACGUCCCUGCCCUUUGUACACACCGCCCGUCGCUCCUACCGAUUGAGUGAUCCGGUGAGGCUCUGGGACCUGGACGGAAAGAGCGUUUCGCUUGUUCUGUUUGGGAAACUUGGUCGAACCUUAUCAUUUAGAGGAAGGAGAAGUCGUAACA